AGCAAAUCAAUCAUAUAGUAUUAAAUUAAAAAUAUUUUUAUGGUUUUUGAUUACGCUCAGAAAACGUUCAUAUUAAAACCUCCUACAUAUUUUACCCUUUUUAAUUAAAAAUCCUUAAUUACAAAAUAAUAAAUACUAAAAAAUAAAUGUUGAAAAUAAAAUAUAGUUUCAAAAUUUUAAAUAUUUAUUAAAUCAUUGUGUUAUUGGUCAUCAAAAUUUACAGAUUUAAGUAUUCAAAAUGAUUACAAAUGCAGUGUGUGUAUAUGUAUAUGAAAUGAAGGUUAAACAUGAUUACAAAAAGAUUAAUAGAAACUUUAAUUAUGUUUACAUCUAAAAUAUAUAUUAGUAUAUAAAUUAAUGAUAUUUUAAACAUAAAAUUAUUAUCUUUCAAAACAUUUCAUUUUAAUUUGUCAAAUACUAUGUCAAAAAAUUAAUGAUAAUCAAUCUUUAUAUUUAAGUUUAACUUUAAAAUAUAUAUAAAUUUUAUAAACAACAAACCGCGCGUAGCGCGGUAAAACCUCUAGUAAUGUUAAAAAGACAAUUUCAGCUGAUAAGUAUAAAUAAAAUUUUCUAGAAAAGUAGAAAUAUAAUUUUGAAAUGAAAUAUAAAAAGAGAAAGAGAAAGGGAAAGGAAAAAGCCAAAGAUCGUCAAUGCUAUCCCCUAGACUAUAUUUGAGAAGUGAUUUUGCCAUAUCUCUUCUUUACAAUCAAUUUCACAAAACAAAUAUGACAUGGCUACUGAAAUUGAUGACAUGGCUUCCAGAAAAAUAUGACAUGGAUAAUUUCAUUUAAUGUUGAUUUAUAUUUUUGGCAAACUUAUCAGAAUAUGGUAAUAAUUCAUAUAUUACAUUUAAUAUUGAUAUUUGUUUUUGGUAAACUUUUUUUUUUAAAUAUGGUAAUAGCUCAUACAUUAUCUAUAAAAUAAAUAUAUUCAUAUAUGAUAUUUCAAAUUUCAAAAUAUUAUUAUUUUUGUAUAAUUAUAUAAUUUGUAUUACUAAAGCUUUCAAAAAUUUCUACUAUUUUUAAAAAAUUUAAAUAUCUAACCGUAAGAUCAUUAGUUUUUUAUAUACCUAAAAGUUUUAUAAAUAUUGUUUAGGCUAAAUUUUUGAUAAUUAUACAAGAUUAUAUCAUUUUAUUAAUUUUAUACAAAUUGAUUUAAUAUAUAUCAAAUCUAUAUUAAAUAUUAGUAAAAAAGUAGUAAAAUUUAUAAUAUAUAAUAAAAUUUAUUUUUAAAUAUAAAUUUGAUUUAAAAAAUUCAUUACUGCACAUAGUGCUGGAAAACAGCUAGUGUGAUUAUAAUUCCAAGGAGGAUGCUGGAGAUGGCAAGAAGGAAAAAGACAAAGGCGGUGCCAAGAAGAAAAAGAACGAAAGCGAGUACAAGAAAGGGUUAAGACCUGUGUUGUGGUUAACCCCUGACUUCCCUCUUAAGACGGAAGAGGUUCUUCCGCUGCUCGAUAUAUUAACUAAUAAGGUCAAAGGCGUGAGGAGGCUCAGAGAGCUCCUUACCACAAAACUUCCCACAGGAACAUUCCCUGUCAAGAAAGUUUGGUUGCGUUAUUGUUUGUAGUAUGCCAUCUUAUUUGUGAGAUUCUUAGUGAAGACACGUUUGUUAUAUAAGAAACAGCCAUUUUGCUCUGUUCAGUUAA